AUAUUUCAUAUUCUAAUUUCAAUAAUAAAAUAUAUAAUCAUGUAGUAUCGAAAUCAAUCAAUAUAAUGCAUCAUGAAAUCAAUAUGUUCAAUCAUGCUUCAUCAUAACAUUUCAAAUAAGAUAUUUUUAUAACAAAAUAUCAUUCAUCCAAUUCAUGCAUCGUUUCACAAAUCAUAUCAGAAAAAUACAUUAUAAUUUGCCGAUAAAUCUAGAAAAAGUGAAACAUUACUUACCUCGAACGCAUUCCAAUAAAUCCACAUAAUUUUAUAAUUUUUUUUCAAAAAUUCUGUUCGUAGAUCAUAUUGCGAUAUCCCAUGAUCAAACAUCCACAAUCCUAUACAGAAUCAAUUUCAAUAAUUAGAAAGAAUACGAAUACCAUAUUUUCAACGAUUUAGAUUGGGUCCGAUCAUCUAAUUUCAUCUAAUCAAAAUCUAAUUAGGACCUAAACGAUCCAAAAUUUGACUAUCAGAUCAAAUCGGAUAAGAAGUGAUAGGACCGAGAUUUCUUCAUCGAUUUCAUAAAAUCAAGUAGAGAGAGAAAAUUAGAGGAGAGAAUUCAUGAGGUACAAUUCGAAUUGAUCAGGUGACACAAUCCAACAUUACGAUUGAUCCAAUAUCUCGAUUGGUGAAAUCAACAUAAUCAAAUCAAGUCAUGACUAGAUCGAAAUCAUGGAUGAUCAAAUCUAAAGAUUCAUGGUCUGAUCAAGGUGGGUGCCAGUACGUUGUCAGAUAAUCAUGGAUCAGGGUUCAUUAGAAUCAGAUCAGGAUUAUUAAAAGAAAUUUCUUCAUUCACUAACCUUUUUAGAGAGAGAAUCAAUCAAGAGAGAAUAUUUUAGAGAAAAAAUUCUAGAGAGAAAAUUUUAGAGAGAAAAAGCUCAUCUUAAAUUCUUCAGACAAUAUGAUUCAACAAAUCCGAUCGAUUGGAUCAAAUCAUGCUGAAAUUAUCAUGUGGAUAAUUCAAUAAAAUCUAAAAAUACCUGAUCUGAUCAAAGUGGAUGUCGGUGUACCAUCCGACGAUCACAGAUCAAAAAUCCAUCACGAGGAUCAUUUAAAUUCAUCAUCAUUCUUCUCAAAAUUCUAGAAAUCUUAGUAGAG
rnacentral:lncRNA from 1 species